rnacentral:rRNA from 1 species
UACGAAGGGGGCUAGCGUUGCUCGGAAUCACUGGGCGUAAAGGGUGCGUAGGCGGGUCUUUUAAGUCAGGGGUGAAAUCCUGGAGCUCAACUCCAGAACUGCCUUUGAUACUGAGGAUCUUGAGUUCGGGAGAGGUGAGUGGAACUGCGAGUGUAGAGGUGAAAUUCGUAGAUAUUCGCAAGAACACCAGUGGCGAAGGCGGCCAACUGGUCCGGUACUGACGCUGAGGUGCGAAAGCGUGGGGGAGCAAACAGG